AGACAAACCAAAAUGGAUUUCUCAUGAAGUGUUAGCCAGUUAAAUUUGGUGCCUCACUCCAAGAUAAUCUUGCCAGCCUGUCAUUUCUUCAUUACCAAACAGAUUUUAAAAGGAUACAUCUUCAAAGAAGGUGAAGAAAGACACUGCAUCUACAGUAGCAUUUCCUACAGAAAGCCACUUGGAACCUCACUGUCUGAACAGCUGAUACAGUUUUGAAGGCUAAUGAGAGGCACAAGCGCCCGGUGGCAUGAGUGUCACAAAUACCUUUCUUUCUUCAUUUGCUUGAUUAUCUGCAAGUGACAAAAGAAGAAUUGAAGAGGAUGAAGCUGUCACAGUCUUGGAAUGUUGAAGAGAUUAUAAUCAGUCAACAAGUAUUUACUGAGUCUCAGUAAGACUAUUAAAUCAUGGAGCCAGUUGUGCCUAAGAGGAGCUGGAAUGAGCUUCAAAGGACAGAGCACAGUUGACAUGUAUAUAAGUAUUGCCAAGACUCCCUGUGGUUUUUAAAAGAAAUUGCAAUGGCUGGUAUUAAUUCUUGACAGUUUCAUUCCUAAUGUCAUCUGGUUGACAUAAAAGAGCCACUGUAAAUUUUGAAAAUGCGGAGAGCAGAAUGAGAAGAGAAAACCAGUGUAAUCUAAGAGUGAACUCUAAGGCACCUGAAGUGUUUUUUUUUUUUUUUAAUUGAAAGGAAAAAACAACUUGGUCUACGAAAACACUGACUUUCCAAAUUCCCAAUUAACAGCAAAUACAUAUUUUACAUCCUUUUCUUCCCCAUUGCACACAAAAAUGCCGUAAUGCCUUGUUAGAAGCUCUCUUAUUGAUGAAACAUUUUAUUUUGGCACGUUUGAUUACAGGUAGUGAUGUGCCUGACAAAUUGGUUUCAGUUUCUCUGACAUGCACAUAGAAUCCAUCUCUUCUUUGCUCUUAACACACUUUUUGAAAAGUCAUUAAGAGUAAGUGGGGGUGGUCUGAGACACCUUCGGUUUGCAAUGAAUAGUCAGUGAAACAAUAUGGGUAGAUCAUUUAAUAUAGUUGUAAUCGAUGGCUGCUGUUGCCUUUCUGGCCAAGCUGUUGCACAGGAACAGAUUUUUAAUUAAAUAAAUAGCUGGGUCGGCAGGCAGGUGCGCCUGGGCAAGCAACCUGCCCAGGGAUUUGGUUUGCAGCAGUUGCUUGGCAACACAACACAGCCGGUCUCCUGAACAACAGCUGCACCCUCUGUUAGCAGCUAGCAGAUGCUCACACCUCAGAGAAUGGCUUCAGAAAUAAUGAUUUGCAAAGAAUAGUUUGUGGAGCUCCCUAAUAAAUAGAAAAAAAAAAAUAGCCUGAAUGAUAAAGGUCAAAGAUAUUCCAGGCUGUUAUAAUGAAUGUGAAUUUGGAGCCGCUGAAAUUUUCAGAAGACAAUAAAGAUAAAAUAUUACCAUAUACUGUAGCUUAAAAAUAAAAGAAACUUCUAUUAUGCAUGAAGCAAAGUGAGAGGUGUUUUCAUAUAUCAAUACAUUAUCUCAUUGAAUUCUCAAAAACUUCUAAGGUAGUGUAACUAUAUUUCAGCAGA